GGGGUUGUGGCUCAGCGGUAGAGCACUUGUCUAGCAUACAUGAGGCCCUGGGUUUGAUCCUCAGCACCACA
rnacentral:tRNA from 1 species